rnacentral:lncRNA from 1 species
ACUUGUUUACAAAUGAAAUGUCCUUCAUAGAGGUUAUUCUCUCUAAAGCAAGGCUUCUUCGCACAUUAUCCAUAAGUCUUAGUCAUGGUGCGGAAUUGGCAAUGUCUAAUGAGGAUGGACUGAAGAAGUUACUAAACUACAAAAAAGCUUCAACUCAUGCUGAGGUUAUAUUUGCAGGUAAAGAAUCUUACCAGCGUUAUUGCAUACCAGCAUUGCAUUGAUACAUAAUAGCAUUGUUUAGGAAGUUUGACACCAUGCAAAUGACAGAGUAGCAGUGCCUACGUCGUUCCAACUUUACUAUUAUGUUUUCACUUAUGUAUUAUUCAAGGUAAGCAAAGAUAAUUUUGUGGCUAGAAGAGAGGGUGUUUAGUAGUUGGCAGGAAGAGAACAAUCACAUUCACAGGUGAAUGUGAAUGAGGCUCAAUGCAUUCAGGAACUUUUCCAUGCUCGUGUUUCAUCUUUUCUUUUCUUAACAAUUUUAAGCUACAUUAUAUUAGAUGGUUGUCAGUCUGCACGGCAUAUUUUGUUCCAUCUGCCUUAUGCCUGUUGGGAUGCGCUGCAUAAACGGUGUUCUUGUUGUGCUGGCAGGUUGUAAUGUUACUAGAUUAUUUU